UUUUCAGUUCCAGUUUGCAUUCCGUGUGGUUUUGUGUUGCUUUCAGGUGUACGGCAUAGAGGGGGACAGUCACAUACUUUACAAAGUGGUCCCCCAGCAUGUCGGUGCCCCCUGGCACCACACCCAGUGACUGCAAUAUUAUUGGUGAGGUGCCCUGUUAGUCACAGGGAUGUAAAGUACAAAUUAUUUUCUAAAAGCGCUUGGUUAGUAUGGUCUUUCAGCAAAGGCUUAAGGAGUGAUGAUAGUGGCGGCUGGGAGCUGGGGACACAGAGGGCAGAGGCCCCCUUUCACCCCUCCUUCCGCACCCAUCUCCUGACCCCCCAAGGUCUGCUUUGCUCUCCCACCCUUGCCAGGGACCUUCCCUGCACCUCCUUCCCUGGAAAUGACUCCCCACCUCCUCCUGCCCCUCCAGUCCCCACAGGACACCCCAAUUCCCAGCAGCCUGGGCAGGUGGCCUCUGAGCAAUGGGGCCUCCAGAGGGUCCCCUGCCUCCAUCUCUCCCCUCAGCCCUGCUUUCUUGGUGGCGAGGCGAAAGGUGAGGCGGGGACAGAGAGAAAGAGGGAGGAGAAAUGGCUUCUUAUUUCACCAUCGUUUCCUCCAGGCUUUCACCCAUUUCCCCACACCCCAGGGGAGGGAGCAGGGGGCAGGCUUGGCCCAGAGAGCCCCCAUCCAGGCCCAGAGGCAGCGAGGCAGGGGCGGGUCCCCUGUAGGCCCAGGCCUCUCCUCCUCCCUGACCCCUCCCCACCUGCAGUCUUUGCCUUCCUCAGCUCUUCUUCCCAGACAGGCUGGGUGGCUGCUGACCAUGCCAGCUCUGGCGCCCUCUCCUCAGGGCGGCCGCUGCCACCCAGCACAGACAGAGGGCCAUGGCCUGGGAGGCCCCGCACCUGCUGCCCCUUGUCCUGCUGGUGCUCCUGGCCUCAGGCUCCUGGGAACAGCAGCCAGAGCUGCUGCGGAAACUGGAAGGGGAGGAAGUCUUCGUAAGGUGUGAUUACCCGCCCCAGAAUAGUUCAAAGACGAAAACCUGGUGCAGAAUAAUAGAAGGAAGCACUUGUACAUUAUUAGUCAACCAUCCCAGGCUUGGCGAGGAGCCUGGAAACCCACGAUACGUCAUCAGGGAUAACCCCCAACAGGGGUACUUCACCGUCACCAUGGCUGCGCUGGCAGAGACAGACUCGGGCUUGUAUUCGUGUGGACUCUAUGAAUCUCCCAGGAUCAACAUUCUCAGAACCAUCAGUCUGGCGGUCUCUCGGGCCCUCACACAAGC